GAAAGUGUAGCAUAUAAAUCAGUGCAUCUCAUUGAAAUUGAGGAGAGAAGUUGUUAUACUCGCUUUCA
rnacentral:tRNA from 1 species